CACAUUUCAAUUAUUUAAAACAGUGCAGAGCAUUGGCCAAUGAGGACAGUUACAUACCAGUGGGGGGGCAGUCUUCAGGAGCAUGGGAGAACAAAUGGGUCCCUGACCCUCCUAUUGCUAUUGGACUGUAAAGUGUCAUCAAACAAAGAAUGAUUAGCCCAUUUUUACAGAUGAAGAAAAGAAAUUUAGACUCAUCCCACAUCCCACUUUGGACCAAACUUAUGCCAACAGUUACAUGAAAUGGUAUUUUAGUUCUGGAUUGCUGGUCCAGGCAGUAGCACAGAGGAAGAGGGAAGAUACUGACUGUCAUUGUCCUCAUUAUGAGUUAAGAUGGUUUUGGCCAGGGCUGGGUUUGAACCCGCCAU